rnacentral:rRNA from 1 species
UACGAAGGGGGCUAGCGUUGUUCGGAAUUACUGGGCGUAAAGCGCGUGUAGGCGGGUCUUUAAGUCAGGGGUGAAAUGCCAAGGCUCAACCUUGGAACUGCCUUUGAUACUGGAGACCUUGAGUCCGGGAGAGGUGAGUGGAAUUGCGAGUGUAGAGGUGAAAUUCGUAGAUAUUCGCAAGAACACCAGUGGCGAGGGCGGCUCACUGGCCCGGAACUGACGCUGAGACGCGAAAGCGUGGGGAGCAAACAGG